rnacentral:misc_RNA from 1 species
GAUGAAGAACGUAGCGAAAUGCGAUAAGUAGUGUGAAUUGCAGAAUUCAGUGAAUCAUCGAAUCUUUGAACGCACAUUGCGCCCCUCGGUAUUCCGUGGGGCAUGCCUGUUCGAGCGUCAUUUAACCCCUCAAGCCUAGCUUGGUAUUGGGUGCUUGUCCCGCCUCUCGCGCGGCGACUCACCUCAAAGUCAUUGGCAGCCCGCAUCUCGCCGGCCGUGAGCGCAGCACAGACGCGCUCUUGGCAACGACGGAUCGGCUCUCCAAAAGCUUAUUUCAACCACAGACCUCGGAUCAGGUAGGGAUACCCGCUGAACUUAAGCAUAUCAAUAAGCGGAGGA